rnacentral:rRNA from 1 species
CCCUUAGACGUUCUGGGCCGCACGCGCGCUACACUGAUGCAUUCAACGAGCACUCGCUUGGCCGAGAGGUCAGGCUAAUCUUUGAACGUGCAUCGUGCUGGGGAUAGAUGAUUGCAAUUAUUCAUCUUCAACGAGGAAUUCCUAGUAAACGCAAGUCAUCAGCUUGCAUUGAUUACGUCCCUGCCCUUUGUACACACCGCCCGUCGCACCUACCGAUUGAAUGGUCCGGUGAAAUCUCGGGACGGCGGCUUGGUCGCUUGCGUCCGACUGCUGAAACUUGAUUAAACCAUAUCAUUUAGAGGAAGGUGAAGUCGUAACA